AUGCCCCGCUGCUGACUGGUGAGUCUGCUGCUUCUUCAGGGAAGGGGCUGGGUCCCUGCACCCUGCUAAGAGCCAAGCUUGGGAUGGACCCAUCCUUCCUCCCCAUCUCUGUCCCCCUGUCCUGCGCAUUGCCCUGCUGCACCCUGGCCCCCCACCCUAUACCCUCGCUUCCUUCCAUUGCUCCCUGUGGUUCCCUCCUUAUUCCACCCCCCGAUUCUUUCCAGUGCCCGGGCUUGGGCCCUUGCCCUUCCACUUUGCCCAGUCCUUAAUGACCACCGAGCGGCUCUCUGGGUCAGGCCUCCACUGGCCACUGAGCCGGACUCGCUCAGAGCCCCUGCCCCCCAGUGCCACCGCUCCCCCACCGCCGGGCCCCAUGCAGCCCCGCCUGGAGCAGCUCAAAACUCACGUCCAGGUGAUCAAGAGGUCAGCCAAGCCGAGUGAGAAGCCCCGGCUGCGGCAGAUACCCUCGGCUGAAGACCUGGAGACAGAUGGCGGGGGACCGGGCCAGGUGGUGGACGAUGGCCUGGAGCACAGGGAGCUGGGCCAUG
rnacentral:lncRNA from 1 species